AUUUUGUACAAUGGGGGAAACCCUGAUCCAGCCAUCCCGCGUAUGCGAUGAAGGCCUUCGGGUAGUACAGCACUUUUGGCAGGGAAGAAAAGGCCCUGGUUAAUACCUGGAGCUGCUGACGGUACCUGCGGAAUAAGCAACGGCUAACUACGUGAACGUAGCCGCGGUAAUACGUAGGGUGCAAGCGUUAAUCGGAAUUACUGGGCGUACAGCGUGCGCAGGCGGUUUGGCAAGAAGGAUGUGAAAUCCCGGGGCUUAACCUCGGAACUGCAUUCUUAACUGCCAGGCUAGAGUAUGUCAGAGGGGGGUAGAAUUCCGCGUGUAGCAGUGAAAUGCGUAGAGAUGCGGAGGAAUACCGAUGGCGAAGGCAGCCCCCUGGGAUAAUACUGACGCUCAUGCACGAAAGCGUGGGGAGCAAAC
rnacentral:rRNA from 1 species